UACGUAGGGCGCAAGCGUUGUCCGGAAUUAUUGGGCGUAAAGAGCUCGUAGGCGGUCUGUUGCGUCCGCUGUGAAAACUCGGGGCUUAACCCCGAGCCUGCAGUGGAUACGGGCAGACUAGAGGUAGGUAGGGGAGAAUGGAAUUCCCGGUGUAGCGGUGAAAUGCGCAGAUAUCGGGAGGAACACCGGUGGCGAAGGCGGUUCUCUGGGCCUUACCUGACGCUGAGGAGCGAAAGCGUGGGUAGCAAACAGG
rnacentral:rRNA from 1 species